rnacentral:lncRNA from 10 species
UCUGGCCACAAUUAUUCACAUCCCUCCUUAUGAUCCCUCUUCCUACUCCAAAAUAUGAUAUCAUGGCAUUUGAGAAAACAGCAGAAGCAGGAAGGUCACUCUCAUCUUCCCCCUCAUUUUUCUUUCCUGGAGCAGCCAUAAAACUUAAUUUCCUGACCUUCCCCUGAAGAAGAUCAUAUGACUCUCUUGUCAGAGGUUCCUUUCCUAUUUUCGGAGGAAAGGAACAUCCUUAUCUCUGAAGGCACAGGGUCACAGAGAAGGAUCUGAACAAACAAGCCUUGCUAAGUUCCCUCCAGUUUAUUACUGUUAGGUCACAUCACCUUUCUCCAUACUUCUCAGCUAUCCACUUCUUCAUCAAACAUA